CCUACGGGUGGCAGCCGUAGGGAAUUUUGCGCAAUGGGCGAAAGCCUGACGCAGCAACGCCGCGUUAACGCGACGCCCUUCGGGGUGUACAGUUCUGUCAGUGGGGACGAAAGAUGACGCUACCCCCAGAGGCAGCACCGGCUAACUCUGUGCCAGCAGCCGCGGUAAUACGGAGGGUGCAAGCGUUGGCCGGAAUCAUUGGUCGUAAAGAGUUCGUAGGCGGGAUGUUAAGUCUGGUGUUAAAUGCAGAAGCUCAACUUCUGUUCGGCACUUGAUACUGGCAAACUAGAAUGCGGUAGAGGUAAAGGGAAGUGCUGGUGUAGCGGUGAAAUGCUUAGAUAUCAGGAGGAACAUCGGUGGCGUAAGCGCUUUACUGGGCCGUAAUUGACGCUGAGGAACGAAAGCCAGGGUAGCAAAUGGGAUUAGAUACCCGAGUAGUC
rnacentral:rRNA from 1 species